AGUCGAGUGAGGAAACAAAUCUAAUGAAAGAGCAGGAGAGUAGGAUAAAGAUUCAGUAAAGGUGUUGAUGAGAAUAUCGACCAGAUUCAAAAUCAGAGUACAAGGGUGAUGCUGAGACAGAAGUGUUGAAAAGGACACAGGAACCAGAAGCAAAACGAUGGGAGGUAAAGUGAAAAGAAAGAACCAACAGAAGGGCCAUGUGAACAGUGUAAUGAACAUUCAUUCACAGGUAAUUGUUGGAUCCAUUAGCAGGAAGGUAAUGUGCUUUGGCUUUUAUCACUCUGUAUUAAGGUGGAUUAUACCUUCACAGUCUUUCAGUGUUGUAAUAUUCACAUUUACUUUGAUGACCUUUGACCUUCAAUUGUUCAAACCCUACAAAGAUGAGCCUGUAAAUCAGGUCUAAACAAGAACAGCAAAAUGAAUUCUUCCCUAAAAGGUCUAACGAAGCUGCAUCAAUUGUUCUUGCUGAUGAGAAACAGUUAUGCAAUCUGGGAAAUGUUCCAAACCGUUUACAUCAUGAUACUCGCAGAGCAAUGAUGGGCGUCUCUCUCUGCUUGGUUACACUGUUCUGUUGCAAUCAUUGUCUAUAGAUGAGAACAGAAGCCUUUCUUAGGCUGUGUCUCAAAUCAGGGUCUGCAUCCUACGUCGGCCGGAUUCGUCGGCCGGUUACGUCACAGCGCCGCGACUCGGCCUGUCCCAAUUCGAAGACUCCUUCAAAUGUGGUCGACGAAUGCAGCCUUCUUUUCGCCUGAAUGAAGGAUGGGUCCGGUGUAUCCUUCAAUAGGUAGCAUUUCCCAAGAUGCCUUGCGGGCCGGCCGGCAGAAAAACUUAAAAACAAUGGCGGACAGUGAAGCGGGAGCUGUCGGAGAGGAUUGCGCAUAUAAAUGAACAAAAGAGAAAACCAGGGAAUUUAUUAAGCUUAGGGCGGAGAUGGACCACAUGAUCACCGGAGCAAAGUAUUCGGCGGCUGUGGCAUGGAGACUAUUCUGGAGAAAAUGGGCAUCCAGGGGAAGGUGACAGCGAUGACCAGCUUCUGGAGCUGAUCAGGGAGGACAUGAGGCUGCAGAGGGAGGCAGAGCAGCAGAGAGCACAGGAGAGAAGGAAGAACUUUGACAGCUUUUUACUUUGCUAGAAAAAAAUGGUUAAGGAAGAUUAAACAUGUACAUAUAAAAGAAAUAUCUAAACAAAAUCAGUUCUGCAUUAAACUCUUGAAUUUUAUUUUUGUUUACAAAUGAGAAUUGUUUACUAGAGGGUAUCCGCUGGGUCUUGAAAAGUCUUAAAAGGUGAUAAAUCGGUUUUGGUCAAAUUAAGACCCUUAGAAAGUAUUAAAAACUAUUAUCACAUCUUUGCUC